rnacentral:rRNA from 1 species
CACGUAGGGCGCAAGCGUUGUCCGGAAUUAUUGGGCGUAAAGAGCUCGUAGGCGGUCUGUUGCGUCCGCUGUGAAAACUCGAGGCUCAACCUCGAGACGUCGGUGGAAACCGUUUGGCUAGAGUCCGGAAGAGGAGAGUGGAAUUCCUGGUGUAGCGGUGAAAUGCGCAGAUAUCAGGAAGAACACCCGUGGCGAAGGCGGCUCUCUGGGACGGUACUGACGCUGAGACGCGAAAGCGUGGGGAGCGAACAGG